GUCAGUAUGGUGUAGUGGUUUGAGUGUUGGACUAUCACUCUGGAGACCAGGGUUUUAAUCCCUGCUCAGCCA